rnacentral:rRNA from 1 species
ACGCUCGACACCUACGGGAGCAGCAGUUAGGAAUAUUGGGCAAUGGAGGAAACUCUGACCCAGCAACGCCGCGUGAAGGAAGAAGGUUUUCGGAUUGUAAACUUCUGAUCUAGGGGAAGAAGGAAGUGACGGUACCCUAGGAGAAAGCCACGGCUAACUACGUGCCAACAGCCGCGGUAAUCUGAGCGGGCUGGCAAGGC